GAGCAGAUGGGAGGUGCGGCGACAGUGUUUGACGAGAGCCGAAGGAGGCUGUGGGAGGUGUUGGCGGCGGCGGCGCGGGCGCCUGAGGAGGAGGAGGAGGAGGAGAAGCGGAUGAGAUCGUGGGGCUCACCAGCGUCCCCCAUGGCUUCUGAGUAGCGUGGGAGUGGAGUCAGCACCAAGCCAGGCUCCCCGCGCCUGCCUUGGCCUCACCUGCUCCUGCUCUCUGCCAGAGGCAGCAUGGUCCGCAGGGCACCAUGGGGCCCGACAGAGUGACAGCACGAGAACUGUGCGAGAACGACGACCUGGCCACCAGCCUCGUCCUGGACCCCUACCUCGGUUUCCGCACCCAUAAGAUGAACGUCAGCCCUGUGCCCCCCCUGCGGCGACAGCAGCACCUGCGCUCAGCGCUGGAAACUUUCCUGAGGCAGCGGGACCUGGAGGCUGCGUACCGGGCCCUGACGCUGGGAGGCUGGACGGCCCGCUACUUCCAGAGCCGGGGCCCGCGGCAGGAGGCUGCCCUCAAGACCCACGUCUAUCGCUACCUCCGUGCCUUCCUGCCGGAAAGUGGCUUUACCAUCCUGCCCUGCACGCGCUACUCCAUGGAGACCAACGGGGCCAAGAUCGUGUCCACUCGUGCUUGGUAAGAGGGCAGGACUCCCUGCGGGUAUCCUUAGAGGAGACAGAGCUCAGAGGGGACAAGAGAGACCCUCUGUUCAUGGACUGGCCAACCGGGGAAAAGCGAGGGGCCUGGUCCUCCGGGCAUCCUAGGAAGGUGGUGGGGCUAAUCCCGGAAGACCUUUGUGGCUACCGUGGUGCCGCUGGAGCAGGAGACCCCGGAUGUGACCCCAGGGUUCCUGGGGCUUCCAGGAAAGAACUAGGCUUCUGCUCAGGGCUGUGCUGUCCUUACCUCCUUGUGACCUGAGCCCCCACCACAUGUUAAACACCCCUGAGUGCAGUGAGGAGCCCCUGCCCCUGCCCCUGUCCCUGUCCCUGCCCCUGUCCCUGCCCCUGCCCCUGCCCCUGCCCCUGCCCCUGUCCCUGUCCCUGCCCCUGCCCCUGCGGGGUUCACAGUCUGGUGAGGAGGUGGGGGGCAGACAAGUCAACAUGCAGUUACUGGUCCCAGCUGGUACAUGCUGCAGGGGAGCUGUGAGGAAUGAGCAAGUGCUCCCAGGGCGAGGCUCACACUGACAGGGGAAGCACCCGCCUGAGGGUCUGGUGGGGCGAGUAGGGGGUAGUCCAGGCAGGAGGGAACUGGGGGCAGGAGGUGCUAUGAGAGCGAGGGGAGAGAAUGGGGGCUGUAUCUGCUGUGUGCGUGCUGUCCUGAAGGCUUUCAGUAGAAGGGUCCUGUGGGGCUGUGGGCUGGAGCAGGGAAGCCCACCCAGGCGGGAGGGGAAGAGGGAGAUCUGGAAGAUGGAUCGCCAAUAGCCAGCACCAGCGCCCAGGAGUCCCUCCUUCCUGGGUGCCUCUGUGCCGGAGGUCCGAGUCCCCUGAACACCUGCAGGAGGCCAGGCAUCGCCCACAGCCCCGCCCCCUGGCCUCUUGGCAGGAAAAAGAAUGAGAAGCUGGAGCUGCUGGUGGGCUGCAUUGCAGAGCUGCGGGAGGCAGAUGAGGGGCUGCUGAGGGCCGGUGAGAAUGACUUCAGCAUCAUGUACUCAACCCGCAAGCGGAGUGCUCAGCUGUGGCUG
rnacentral:sRNA from 1 species